rnacentral:rRNA from 1 species
AAAAAACAACCUAGGUAGUAAAUUUAUUAAAACCUUUAUAAAAUGGCGGCAUUUCAUCUUAUUAGAGGAACAUGUUUCUUAAUCGACAACACACGAUCAAUUUCACUAAUUUUAAGAUUUUAUAUACCUCCGUCCUAAAAUUAUUUACAUUUUUCAAAAAAAUUCUAAAAGGUUAGGUAAAGGCGUAAACCAUAAAUUAGACGAAAUGUGUUACAUUAAAAAAAAAUUAAGGAUUGUAAUACAAAUAUAUAUUUGAAAAAGAAUUUAAAAGUAGCAUUUAUUUACAACAAAAAUUCGAAUAAGAAAAUAAAUGUGC